AUUGAACGCUGGCGGCAUGCUUUACACAUGCAAGUCGAACGGUAACAGGUCUUCGGAUGCUGACGAGUGGCGAACGGGUGAGUAAUACAUCGGAACGUGCCUAGUAGUGGGGGAUAACUACUCGAAAGAGUGGCUAAUACCGCAUGAGAUCUCCGGAUGAAAGCAGGGGAUCGAAAGACCUUGUGCUACUAGAGCGGCCGAUGGCAGAUUAGGUAGUUGGUGGGAUAAAAGCUUAACAAGCCGACGAUCUGUAGCUGGUCUGAGAGGACGAUCAGCCACACUGGGACGGAGACACGGCCCAGACUCCUACGGGAGUCAGCAGUGGGGAAUUUUGGACAAGGGGCGCAAGCCUGAUCCAGCAAUGCCGCGUGCAGGAUGAAGGCCUUCGGGUUGUAAACUGCUUUUGUACGGGACGAAAAGCCCUGGGUUAAUACCCUGGGGUCAUGACGGUACCGUAAGAAUAAGCACCGGCUAACUACGUGCCAGCCGCCGCGGUAAAAC
rnacentral:rRNA from 1 species